CAGGAGGUCCUGAGUUCUUGUCCUGUGUCCAGAAUGUAUGAGAAACAAUUCUGGUAGGGACACUGAAGCAUAUUAUCUAGUCAUCUCUUCAUAACUGGGCAGAAUGGCAAAUCAUCUCAGCUGAGAUUUCUAGGUGACUUUCUGGAAGAUAAGGGGGGAAUUUGAUCAUUCAUAGGUAAUAUAUAGAAGCACCUUUUUCCAGCUUCAGUUUUCUUGGAGGUAUUGAACAGUCAUCCAUCUUCAGGAAUUCGCCUCU